rnacentral:rRNA from 1 species
UACAGAGGGUGGGAGCGUUAAUCGGAGUUACUGGGCGUAAAGGGCGCGUAGGCGGUUAUAUGGGUGUGAUGUGAAAGCCCUGGGCUUAACCUGGGAAGUGCAUCGCAAACUGAAUAGCUAGAGUACAAGAGAGGGUGGCGGAAUUUCCGGUGUAGCGGUGAAAUGCGUAGAGAUCGGAAGGAACGUCGAUGGCGAAGGCAGCCACCUGGCUUGAGACUGACGCUGAAGCGCGAAAGCGUGGGUAGCGAACAGG